CUGGCGGCGUGCUUAACACAUGCAAGUCGAACGAAGCACUCUAUUUGAUUUUCUUCGGAAAUGAAGAUUUUGUGACUGAGUGGCGGACGGGUGAGUAACGCGUGGGUAACCUGCCUCAUACAGGGGGAUAACAGUUGGAAACGACUGCUAAUACCGCAUAAGCGCACAGGAUCGCAUGAUCCGGUGUGAAAAACUCCGGUGGUAUGGGAUGGACCCGCGUCUGAUUAGCCAGUUGGCAGGGUAACGGCCUACCAAAGCGACGAUCAGUAGCCGACCUGAGAGGGUGACCGGCCACAUUGGGACUGAGACACGGCCCAAACUCCUACGGGAGGCAGCAGUGGGGAAUAUUGCACAAUGGGGGAAACCCUGAUGCAGCGACGCCGCGUGAGCGAAGAAGUAUUUCGGUAUGUAAAGCUCUAUCAGCAGGGAAGAAGAAUGACGGUACCUGACUAAGAAGCACCGGCUAAAUACGUGCCAGCAGCCGCGGUAAUACGUAUGGUGCAAGCGUUAUCCGGAUUUACUGGGUGUAAAGGGAGCGCAGGCGGUGCGGCAAGUCUGAUGUGAAAGCCCGGGGCUCAACCCCGGUACUGCAUUGGAAACUGUCGUACUAGAGUGUCGGAGGGGUAAGUGGAAUUCCUAGUGUAGCGGUGAAAUGCGUAGAUAUUAGGAGGAACACCAGUGGCGAAGGC
rnacentral:rRNA from 1 species